rnacentral:lncRNA from 1 species
CACCGAGAGCUCCAGGAAAGCAGGGCCCUUACCCUCCUGUGAUCUGACCCCAAGCCGAUGUGGUUUGCAUCUGGGAAACUCAAUCCCCAGUCAGCCUCUUGGGAGUGGACAUGGGACCUGUUGUGUUGACGCUGCUAAUGUCCUUCCCUAGGGAGGCAAUGGACUGUCUGCCUUUCUAUGACAGAAUCCUAUUCCAGCGUGUGAGCAAACCACAUUUAACCACUCAUCCUAUGACAGCCAUUGUGAGAUUGUGCAUGGUACUUCUAAG